rnacentral:lncRNA from 1 species
GGUAUUUGAUAGAGAGAAGUCUUAGUGUUAUAGAGAAUUGGUAAAGUAUGCUGUAAGCAAUAUCCUCAGUGUCAGAAAUCCGGAUAGGAUUGGAUAAGAAAUUAUUGAUUCAAGCUUAAUGAAUCUACGUUAAAAAGACAGAGGAAGGAAUUGGUUCUCAAAUACAAAAAUAGAGUGGUAGAUUAAUAAGAUAAAUUCAGGAAGCAGUUUGUAAGCCUUUGUCAUCAAGAAGCUUUAAAAGAAGAUUAGACAAGUUUAGGGAUAAGGAUGAUAGGUGAUAAUAUGUAGGUGAGUUUCAUACAGGGACUGCCAUUUAUAGGCCUGAUGGCUUCUUGGAUUUUACAUUACUUUCUUAUGUUCUUAAUGCCCAACCUUUGCGGGAAGAAGUGUGGAUAAGGCGUGGGGCUCAUUUUUACAUAAUGGCUUGUGGCGUGGAGAAGUAUCAGCAAAUGUGUAUGCAGCAGGGUGAGGAUCGUGCUUUGGCCACACCCCUCACAUAUUACUUGAUAGUCAGAAUACAAGAUAAGGUUUUAUAUUCCUUUAUUGAACAUCCUUUAUGGAGUAAUAGGAUAACUGUUCUGGCAUUAUGAAAGUGCUUUUGUCAGACUUGUGCUGUUAAUUCCAUGAUACCAAAAACUACAUUCUUUGUUGGUAUUUAUCUUGUAGAGACUUUUUUAUGAAUUACAUCAUUGUACACUGGCCUUUUCUUCCUUAUAAUGUAGUAGUAAUAGUAAAAAGAUGUACAUAAUAAGAGAAGUGAAGCUCAAGCAGAUUGAAGCAACAUUAUCCUGAUGAGUCUAUGAGAAAAAGACAGUGACACUUGCUUAAAAUUCUCUUCUAGAGCCUGUCCCACUCAAAGAUGUAAUUGAUAUCUAUAAGUAUUUCCUCCCACACAGACCCAUGUUGAUGUAGGAGAUGGAUUUGCAUUUCUUAAUGAUUUGUUGUCCUUUUGCAUAAUGCAAUGGCAGGUAUUGUAGAGAAAGAAUUGUCUUAAUUUCUUAGUGAUUAUGGUUUUGAUGUAAAUUUGUUGUCUUUCUGUUUCUACCUUUGACAUAACUUUGCAGUGUCUCAGAUGAGGCCUCCAGACAGACUCUCAAGGGCAGCAGCUUUCUUGAUAAUCUUCCUCCUCCUCCUUCUUUUUACGAUAAGUUGCAUUAUGGGAUGGAAGAAUAGUGAGAGCCAAUGGUGAGUACCUAGCAAAUGCCAGUGGGGAGCAGCAACGUAAGGCACAAUGAAGAAAUCACAACUGUUUUGUGUGAAAAAGAGUUAAGAAUGAUGUAGAUAGGGUACUAGUAAAGUUAAAUAUUUAUAUCAAGAGGAGUUCUUAAAUAUACUAGUUUAUGGACAUCUAAGUCAUUUGUUACCUUCAUUGAUCAAAGAGGCAAUUUAUUUUGAGUAACUUUACUAACACUGGCAGAAGAAAAUUUGAGACAUUGUUGAUAUACUUGUGUGUGAGGUUGUGAAGAUCUUUGAGAGUUUAUCACCUGUUCAUCUAUACAAGUAAAGGAUUCUUGUUAUCUGUCCCUCAUUGUUGACCAAGCUCUGCAUCAUCAGUCAUCCUGAAGCCACUUGCUUUUAGCCUAGAUUAGAUUUGAGCAGAUUUUGUGACCUCAUGCCACUUUGAUUCAGAAUGACUGGCCAUGCAAAGCAUAAGCUAGACAAAGAAUUAUGAUCAUGCUAUUGUAUUCCAGUAUUUUAACAUAUUCUGUGAUUUGUAGAUUAUGUUUUAAUUUAUUUAUAAAGUAUCAAAAUAUAUUUUCCUGACUAGUAGAUAAAGAAUGGGAGAAGCAUGUAGGAUGUGUGGAAUCCUUGUUGGAUAAGUGCUGAAGCUCCUCCUCUAUGUCCCAAAUGGUGCAGACAAUAAUCUGUAUGUGUGUACGACAGUGUGUGUGAGAGUAAAUCUAUUAUAUUU